rnacentral:lncRNA from 7 species
AUUCUGAACAUGGAAAGCAAAAUGUAAAUGGAGUGCUACAUAUUCAGUGGCCAUUCAGUCUGAUCUUCACAUUGAUAGUGACCUUGCUGUCAAGUAUUACAGCUCUUUCCUGAACAUUGCACCAGGUGAUAUCAACUCAUCAUACACAAUGGGGAAAACUUUGUAAGCUGAAGGCUCCUCUACAAACUAUCUGAUAAUAGUGAAGAAUGGAACUCAUCCACCAAAAGUGCAGGUGCUUAAGAGGGACCUCACUCCACAGGACUCAAGCAAUGCAGUCCCCAUCACAGCACUCCAGCAAGUAACAAAGUACUGUAUGGGAUAAGAAACACAGUGAGAUACAACACCACUAGGACAGGAGACUCAAGAUUUAUGCAGUCGUUUAACAAGUAGAAGACGUUGGAUCACAUUCAGCAAGACUAAAAACUCGAAAGCAUUGCCUUACGAACCCCCCUAGUCUCAGCUGCAUUGCCGUCUCUAAGACUGCCAUUUGUUAUGGCCUGCAAAAUAAUGGUAUCCAGUUGGCACUGAGCACUGUAGCUGCCUUGGACUAAGUUUGUUCUCUUUGCUCCUGUUUGAGUUCAUUUGUCUCACACAACAAGUACAAAAGAGAAGGUGAAGCAAACUACAGUGAAAAGCUGUUCCAAGAGCCAACACAGUGAACGUGCUUUUGAAAAUAACAUGGCAAACGGAUCUGUUUUACAUAGAAGUAGCCUAUAAAUCAAUCUUCGUGAGAGCCAUGGGUCCAUGCAAACCUCUCCCCUGACUUCUAGGAUUCACAUUUCCUGCAGCUCAUCCCGCCCAAAAUGCAGACCCCAUUCCUUAGAUUGCUUCCUUUAACUGCUGGCACAAUUUUUACUGCUCCCUGGCAGGGCAGAGGUUGGAGCAGAGACUGUGCUGUGACAAGCUGAGGGACGUGACAGGUGCACAAAGGAGCAACAUCAGGUCUCAGAACAUUUGAGUACUUUAUGAAGUUUCUCAGCUGGAUUAACCUACACAUUAGCAUAUCCUUAACUGACAGAAUCCUCCAUUUUUUAAGGAAUUCUAGGCUUUAAAACUUCAGUACAAUAAGCUUAGAUACUCAGCACAGAGCAGUUUUGUUUCAUUUCAAAUAUCAUUACCCAUGAAUAAAUCCAAGAUG